rnacentral:rRNA from 1 species
GAGUUUGAUCAUGGCUCAAAACGAACGCUGGCGGCAGGCCUAACACAUGCAAGUCGAGCGAGGGAGCAAUCUCUAGCGGCGGACGGGUGAGUAACGCGUGGGAACGUGCCCCUUGGUACGGAAUAGCCCCGGGAAACUGGGAGUAAUACCGUAUGAGCUCUACGGAGGAAAGAUUUAUCGCCAAGGGAUCGGCCCGCGUUGGAUUAGGUAGUUGGUGGGGUAAUGGCCUACCAAGCCGACGAUCCAUAGCUGGUUUGAGAGGAUGAUCAGCCACACUGGGACUGAGACACGGCCCAGACUCCUACGGGAGGCAGCAGUGGGGAAUCUUAGACAAUGGGGGAAACCCUGAUCUAGCCAUGCCGCGUGAUCGAUGAAGGCCUUAGGGUUGUAAAGAUCUUUCAGUGGGGAAGAUAAUGACUGUACCCACAGAAUAAGCCCCGGCUAACUCCGUGCCAGCAGCCGCGGUAAUAC